rnacentral:rRNA from 1 species
CCAGACUCCUACGGGAGGCAGCAGUGGGGAAUAUUGCACAAUGGGGGAAACCCUGAUGCAGCGACGCCGCGUGAGUGAAGAAGUAUUUCGGUAUGUAAAGCUCUAUCAGCAGGGAAGAAAAUGACGGUACCUGACUAAGAAGCCCCGGCUAACUACGUGCCAGCAGCCGCGGUAAUACGUAGGGGGCAAGCGUUAUCCGGAUUUACUGGGUGUAAAGGGAGCGUAGACGGCAGCGCAAGUCUGGAGUGAAAUGCCGGGGCCCAACCCCGGAACUGCUCUGGAAACUGUGAAGCUGGAGUGCAGGAGAGGUAAGCGGAAUUCCUGGUGUAGCGGUGAAAUGCGUAGAUAUCAUGAAGAACUCCGAUCGCGAAGGCAAGUGUCCGGGGUGCAACUGACGCUGAGGCUCGAAAGUGCGGGUAUCAAACAGGAUUAGAUACCCGCGUACA